GCCGGUUCGGCGGAGGUGGCGAGCCGCGGCGGACUGUAAAUCCGUUCUUUCGGGUGGGUGGGUUCGAAUCCCUCAACCGGCA
rnacentral:tRNA from 1 species